GACGAACGCUGGCGGCGUGCCUAAUACAUGCAAGUAGAACGCACAGUUUAUACCGUAGCUUGCUCCACCAUAAACUGUGAGUUGCGAACGGGUGAGUAACGCGUAGGUAACCUGCCUGGUAGCGGGUGAUAACUAUUGGAAACGAUAGCUAAUACCGCAUAAUAUUGAUUAUUGCAUGAUAAUUGAUUGAAAGAUGCUAUUGCAUCACUACCAGAUGGACCUGCGUUGUAUUAGCUAGUAGGUGAGGUAACGGCUCACCUAGGCGACGAUACAUAGCCGACCUGAGAGGGUGAUCGGCCACACUGGGACUGAGACACGGCCCAGACUCCUACGGGAGGCAGCAGUAGGGAAUCUUCGGCAAUGGACGAAAGUCUGACCGAGCAACGCCGCGUGAGUGAAGAAGGUUUUCGGAUCGUAAAGCUCUGUUGUAAGAGAAGAACGGGUGUGAGAGUGGAAAGUUCACACUGUGACGGUAUCUUACCAGAAAGGGACGGCUAACUACGUG
rnacentral:rRNA from 1 species